UACGAAGGGGGCAAGCGUUGUUCGGAAUUACUGGGCGUAAAGGGCGCGCAGGCGGCCAAUCAAGUCAGAUGUGAAAGCCCCGGGCUCAACCUGGGAAUUGCAUUUGGGACUGAUUGGCUAGAGAUCGGGAGAGGAGAGUGGAAUUCCCAGUGUAGAGGUGAAAUUCGUAGAUAUUCGCAAGAACACCAGUGGCGAAGGCGGCUCACUGGCCCGAUACUGACGCUGAGGCACGAAAGCGUGGGGAGCAAACAGG
rnacentral:rRNA from 1 species